CCUACGGGUGGCAGCAGUAGGGAAUAUUGCUCAAUGGGGGAAACCCUGAAGCAGCAACGCCGCGUGGAGGAUGAAGGUUUUAGGAUUGUAAACUCCUUUUGUUAGAGAAGAUUAUGACGGUAUCUAACGAAUAAGCACCGGCUAACUCCGUGCCAGCAGCCGCGGUAAUACGGAGGGUGCAAGCGUUACUCGGAAUCACUGGGCGUAAAGAGUGCGUAGGCGGGGUAUUAAGUCAGAUGUGAAAUCCUGUAGCUUAACUACAGAACUGCAUUUGAAACUGUUACUCUGGAGUGUGGGAGGGGUAGGUGGAAUUCUUGGUGUAGGGGUAAAAUCCGUAGAGAUCAAGAGGAAUACU
rnacentral:rRNA from 1 species